AGUGAACGCUGGCGGCAGGCCUAAUACAUGCAAGUCGAACGGCAGCACAGUGGAGCUUGCUCCAUGGGUGGCGAGUGGCGGACGGGUGAGGAAUACAUGGGAAUCUGCCCAGUCGUGGGGGAUAACGUAUGGAAACGUACGCUAAUACCGCAUGCGCCCUUCGGGGGAAAGUCGGGGACCGCAAGGCCUGACGCGAUUGGAUGAGCCCAUGUUCGAUUAGCUAGUUGGCGGGGUAACGGCCCACCAAGGCGACGAUCGAUAGCUGGUCUGAGUGGAUGAUCAGCCACACUGGAACUGAGACACGGUCCAGACUCCUACGGGAGGCAGCAGUAGGGAAUAUUGGACAAUGGGCGCAAGCCUGAUCCAGCCAUGCCGCGUGAGUGAAGAAGGCCCUCGGGUUGUAAAGGCUCUUUUGUUGGGGAAGAAAGCAGUUGGUUAAUACCCGAUUGUUCUGACGGUACCCAAAGAAUAAGCACCGGCUAACUUCGUGCCAGCAGCCG
rnacentral:rRNA from 1 species